UGUGUUCAAGUUUUUAAGGGCAUACGGUGGAUGCCUUGGCAUCAGGAGCCGAUGAAGGACGUGGGAGCCUGCGAUAUGCCUCGGGGAGUCGGCAACCAGACUUUGAUCCGGGGAUUUCCGAAUGGGGAAACCUGGCACUCGUCAUGGGGUGUCGCCGCCUGCUGAAUGUAUAGGCAGGUUGGUGGGAACGCGGGGAAGUGAAACAUCUCAGUACCCGCAGGAAGAGAAAACAAUAGUGAUUCCGUGAGUAGUGGUGAGCGAAAGCGGAUUAGCCUAAACCGUGCGCGUGUGAUAGCCGGCAGGCGUUGCGUGUGCGGGGUUGUGGGACCAUCCGGUCGUCUCUGCCGAGGCGGCAAGGAGUUACAAACUGCUCGGAUAGUCGAAUGGCAUGGGAAGGCCGACCGUAGACGGUGAGAGUCCGGUAGACGAAAUUCGAGUGGCUUCUGGGUGUGUUCCCGAGUAGCACGGGGCCCGUGAAAUCCCGUGUGAAUCUGCCACGACCACGUGGUAAGGCUGAAUACUUCCUGAUGACCGAUAGCGGACCAGUACCGUGAGGGAAAGGUGAAAAGUGCCCCGGUGAGGGGUCGUGAAAUAGUACCUGAAACCGUGUGCCUACAAGCCGUCAGAGCGUCCUCACAGGUUUCGGCCUGUGUUCGUGAUGGCGUGCCUUUUGAAGAAUGAGCCUGCGAGUUAUGGUGUGUGGCGAGGUUAACCGGUGGCGGGUAGCCGUAGCGAAAGCGAGUCUGAAUAGGGCGUUUGAGUCGCAUGCUGUAGACCCGAAGCGGGGUGAUCUAGCCAUGGGCAGGGUGAAGCGCCGGUAAGACGGUGUGGAGGCCCGAACCCACCAGGGUUGAAAACCUGGGGGAUGACCUGUGGUUAGGGGUGAAAGGCCAAUCAAACUCCGUGAUAGCUGGUUCUCCCCGAAAUGCAUUUAGGUGCAGCGUCGCGUGUUUCUUGCCGGAGGUAGAGCUACUGGAUGGCUGAUGGGCCCUACAAGGUUACUGACGUCAGCCAAACUCCGAAUGCCGGUAAGUGAGAGCGUGGCAGUGAGACUGCGGGGGAUAAGCUUCGUAGUCGAGAGGGAAACAGCCCAGAUCAUCGGCUAAGGCCCCUAAGCGUGUGCUAAGUGGGAAAGGAUGUGGAGUUGCCGUGACAACCAGGAGGUUGGCUUAGAAGCAGCCAUCCUUGAAAGAGUGCGUAAUAGCUCACUGGUCAAGUGAUUCCGCGCCGACAAUGUAGCGGGGCUCAAGCACACCGCCGAAGCCGUGGCAUUGACACGUAUGUGUUGAUGGGUAGGGGAGCGUCCUGUAGCCGGUGAAGCCGCCGAGUGAUCGAGUGGUGGAGGCUGCGGGAGUGAGAAUGCAGGCAUGAGUAGCGAGUCACACGUGAGAAACGUGUGCGCCGGAUGACCAAGGGUUCCUGGGGCAGGCUAAUCCGCCCAGGGUAAGUCGGGACCUAAGGCGAGGCCGACAGGCGUAGUCGAUGGACAACGGGUUGAUAUUCCCGUACCCGCUGGUAUGCGCCAACGCUGAACCCUCUGAUGCUAAGACCCCGAAUCCUGGUUGGGGCCUUCGGGCUUCUUCUGGGCCUAGCGGUCGACCCGAGGGGGUAGUAGGUGAGUGAUGGGGUGACGCAGGAGGGUAGCUCAGCCCGGGCGAUGGUUGUCCCGGGGUAAGCAUGUAGCCCGGGUCGUAGGUAAAUCCGCGGCCCAUACAGGGUGAGAUGUGAUGCCGAGCCGUUUUAGGUGAAGUGAGUGAUCCCAUGCUGUCGAGAAAAGCCUCUAGCGAGUGUACUGGCGGCCCGUACCCUAAACCGACUCAGGUGGUCAGGUAGAGAAUACCAAGGCGAUCGGGUGAACUGUGGUUAAGGAACUCGGCAAAUUGCCCCCGUAACUUUGGGAGAAGGGGGGCCUCGUCCGGUGAGCCGUCUUGCACGGGGAGCUGGGUGGGGUCGCAGAGGCCAGGGGGAAGCGACUGUUUACUAAAAACACAGGUCCGUGCGAAGUCGUAAGACGCUGUAUACGGACUGACGCCUGCCCGGUGCCGGAACGUUAAGAGGACCGGUUAGACCUUUCGGGGUCGAAGCUGAGAAUCUAAGCGCCGGUAAACGGCGGUGGUAACUAUAACCAUCCUAAGGUAGCGAAAUUCCUUGUCGGGUAAGUUCCGACCUGCACGAAUGG
rnacentral:rRNA from 1 species